rnacentral:rRNA from 1 species
UACGUAGGGUGCGAGCGUUGUCCGGAAUUACUGGGCGUAAAGAGCUCGUAGGCGGUUUGUCGCGUCGACUGUGAAAACCUACAGCUUAACUGUGGGCUUGCAGUCGAUACGGGCAGACUUGAGUUCGGUAGGGGAGACUGGAAUUCCUGGUGUAGCGGUGAAAUGCGCAGAUAUCAGGAGGAACACCGGUGGCGAAGGCGGGUCUCUGGGCCGAUACUGACGCUGAGGAGCGAAAGCGUGGGGAGCGAACAGG